rnacentral:rRNA from 1 species
CUUGUAGCCCAUAAGAGGUCCAGCCUGCCCAGUGAAAUAUUCAACGGCCGCGGUAUCCUAACCGUGCGAAGGUAGCGUAAUCACUUGUUCUCUAAAUCAGGACUAGUAUGAAUGGCAUCACGAGGGUUACACUGUCUCCUUUUUCCAAUUAGUGAACUUAAUCUUCCCGUGAAGAAGCUGGAAUAAACCUAUAAGACGAGAAGACCCUUUGGAGCUUUAAACUAUUUAGCAUCUGCAUUAUUACCUUUAUAUUUCUGAAUUUUUUCCCUCCGCAGUCUGACUAACAGUUUUAGGUUGGGGUGACCGCGGAGUAAAAUACACCCUCCACAUUGUAAGAGUCUAUUGAAUCUAAGCCAAGAGGCACACCUCUAAGCAUCAACAUACUGACACCCAUUGACCCAAUAUAUUUGAUCAACGAAC